AAUGGAUUGGAAGGGUGCAAGUUAAUCCUGAUGGCAUCCAAUCUUUAAAUAUAAAAGGAGACACACGUCGGGGUUCUCAUUCAUUUGGAAUUUUUUCUAUCUCUUCUUUCUUACACCUCUCUCUCUAUUUUCCAAUUAUUCUAUUUCUUCUCUUAUUAGGACAACUCCUAAAAUAGUAAGGACAAGUUUGAUUUUAGGAUAAAAGCCUAGGAAGAGAUAUAAGAAAGAUAAGGAGACUCGAAAGAUAGAGAUAGGAAGGCUAGGA
rnacentral:lncRNA from 1 species